GAUGGAUGGAUGGAUAGGUGGAGGUGUAGGUGUAGGUGGAGGAAGAGUAAGAGGGGUUGGAUGAGCGCAGUGUGAAGCCACACUGCUGUAUUCCAAGUUUCCUGGAGAAGUUUCCAGGCCGCAGAAAUAAUCCCGGUUUAGUCUCUGCAGCAGACCACAUAAAGAAGCGAUGAAGACGAGGUUGGCAGAUCAGAUGUGUCUUCAUUUACUCUCCUGGAUCUUUGCUGUGAAGGACUCUGAUGUGCUCAGUCGUUCUGGUUUCAUUCAACCGCAGUCUGCAGGAUCUUCUUUCAGCCACACAUGUUCCAGUGACGAGUCAUAAAAGAGCGUGUAAUCCAGCCAGCGUCCCAGGUGGUGACGGAUCUCAGCAGCAGACGGAUCGAUGGUCGG